rnacentral:rRNA from 1 species
GAGUUUGAUCAUGGCUCAGGAUGAACGCUGGCGGCGUGCUUAACACAUGCAAGUCGAGCGAAGCACUUAGACGGAUUUCUUCGGAUUGAAGCCUAUUUGACUGAGCGGCGGACGGGUGAGUAACGCGUGGGUAACCUGCCUCAUACAGGGGGAUAACAGUUAGAAAUGGCUGCUAAUACCGCAUAAGCGCACAGGGCUGCACGGCUCGGUGUGAAAAACUCCGGUGGUAUGAGAUGGACCCGCGUCUGAUUAGCUAGUUGGAGGGGUAAC